AGAGUCGGCCAGGCAAUCGCUGUAGCAAUACAGAGGAAAGUCCGGGCUCCACCGGGCAGGGUGCCAGCUAACGGCUGGGGGGCGCAAGCCUACGGAAAGUGCAGCAGAAAGAUACCGCCGGUUUGUUCGCAAACCGGUAAGGGUGAAAUGGUGCGGUAAGAGCGCACCGCGUGGCCUGGUAACAGGCGCGGCUAGGUAAACCCCACCUGGAGCAAGACCAAAUAGGGGAGCAGAUGGUUCGCCAUCUCGUGUGGCCCACAUGGCUCCCGGGUAGGUCGCUUGAGGUGCAUGGUGACAUGCAUCCCAGAUGAAUGAUUGUCCACGACAGAACCCGGCUUAUCGGCCGACUCUUUCA
rnacentral:RNase_P_RNA from 1 species